CCUACGGGAGGCUGCAGUGGGGAAUAUUGGACAAUGGGCGAAAGCCUGAUCCAGCCAUGCCGCGUGUGUGAAGAAGGCCUUCGGGUUGUAAAGCACUUUCAGUGGGGAAGAAAGCCUUGGGGCUAAUACCCUCGAGGAAGGACAUCACCCACAGAAGAAGCACCGGCUAACUCCGUGCCAGCAGCCGCGGUAAUACGGAGGGUGCGAGCGUUAAUCGGAAUUACUGGGCGUAAAGCGCGCGUAGGCGGUCUGAUAAGCCGGUUGUGAAAGCCCCGGGCUCAACCUGGGAACGGCAUCCGGAGCUGUCAGGCUAGAGUGCAGGAGAGGAAGGUAGGAGUCCCGGUGUAGCGGUGAAAUGCGUAGAGAUCGGGAGGAAUACCAGUGGCGAAGGCGGCCUUCUGGACUGACACUGACGCUGAGGUGCGAAAGCGUGGGUAGCAAACAGGAUUAGAUACCCGUGUAGUC
rnacentral:rRNA from 1 species